AACCAUGACCUUUGUUUGCCAGCGACAAUCACGACUUUACUUCUGAGCAUCUUGUUCUUGGCUGCAAACUGCCAGAUGUAAUGUUGUGCACGAAGUUGGUCCAGCCUCAAACAUGGAGA
rnacentral:precursor_RNA from 8 species